rnacentral:rRNA from 1 species
UGGGAAGCAUACCAUGCAGUCGAACGGCAGCACGGACUUCUGUCUGGUGGGGAGAGGGGAAGAGGUGAGUAAAGUGCCGGAGCGUGCCUCGGGGCGGGGGAGACUCCCCGAAAGCGUAGCUCAUACCGCGCACGCCCUACGGGGGAAAGCAGGGGAGACCUUCACCUUGCACUAUUAGAGCGGCCGAUAUCGGAUUUUAUAGUUGGUGGGGUAACGGGUCUCAAGGCGACAAUAUGUAUCUGGUUUGAGAGGAGACCUCCCUCCUGGGACUGAGACAGGCCCCCACUCCUACGGGAGGCGCACUGGGGAAUUUUGGACAUGGGGGAAACCCUGAUCCCCCAUCCCGCGUGUGUGAUGAAAGCCUUCGGGUUGUAAAGCACUUUUGGCAGGAAAGAGAAUCAUGGGCUAAUACCCCGUGAAACUGACGGUACCUGCACAAUAUACACCGGCUAACUCUCUGCCAGCAGCCGCGGUAAUAUACAGGGUGCAAGCGUUAAUCGGAAUUACUGGGCGUAAAGCGUGCGCAGGCGGUUCGGAAAGAAAGAUGUGAAAUCCCCAGCUUAUCUUUGGAACUGCUUUUUUAACUACUGACCUACAGUGUGUCGGAGGGAGGUGGAAUUACUCGUGUAGCAGUGAAAUGCUGAGAUAUGCGGAGGAACACCGAUGGUGAAGGCAGCCUCCUGGGAUAACGCUGACGCUCAUGCAGUAAAACGUGGGGAGCAAACAAGAUUAUAUAAUCUGGUGGUCCACGCCCUAAACGAUGUCAACUACCUGUUGGGGCCUUCGGGCCUUGCUAGCGCAGCUAACGCGUGAAGUUGACCGCCUGCGGAGUACAGUUCGCCACGAUUAAGAACUCACAGGAAUUGACUGGCACGCGCACACACGGUGGGAUGAUGUGGUGUGAAUUCUAUGCAACGCGAAAAAACUUAACCUACCCUUGACAUGUCUGGAAUGCUCAGACAUUUGAUAGUGCUCGCAGAGAGCAGCAACACAAGUGCUGCAUGGCUGUCGUCAGCUCGUGUCGUGAGAUGAUGUGUGAGUACCUGCACGAGCGCACCCCUCGUCGUCAGUGCUACAACGGCACUCGUAUGAACUGCAGUGACUACGAGAAGCUGUAAUAACGUCAGUCUCAUGCCCUAUGUACGCUCGCACGGUCAUACAUGUCGGACUGAGUGACCAACUGUAGGAGCAGUCCGAAAUCGACUCGAAUCGAUUCGAUUGGAACUGAACUUGCGUA